UCUUGUGUGUGUGUGUGUGUGUGUGUGUGUGUAGUGUGUGUUUGUAUGAUUGAGCCCAUUCAACGUAAGUCUAAUUUUGUUAGAAAUAAUGUACCAUGUAGACUAGCAAAAUAGUAUGUAGAUGUGAUCUCAGUUGUAAAUAUAAAAAUAUAAUUCAAUAAACUCUGUAUUAUCCCUUAAAAAAAA